rnacentral:rRNA from 1 species
CAAGUCGAACGGUCCGCUUCGGCGGAUAGUGGCGCACGGGUGCGUAACACGUAUGCAACCUACCUUACAUUGGGGGAUAGCCUUCCGAAAGGGAGAUUAAUACCGCAUAAGACAGUAGCUGGGCAUCCAGUAGCUGUUAAAGAUUUAUCGAUGUAAGCUGGGCAUGCGUCCAAUUAGUUAGUUGGUGAGGUAACAGCUCACCAAGACGAUGAUUGGUAGGGGAACUGAGAGGUCAAUCCCCCACACUGGCACUGAGAUACGGGCCAGACUCCUACGGGAGGCAGCAGUAGGGAAUAUUGGGCAAUGGACGCAAGUCUGACCCAGCCAUGCCGCGUGCAGGAAGAAGGCGUUCUGCGUUGUAAACUGCUUUUAUAUAGGAAGAAACGACCCUUGCGAGGGGCAUUGACGGUAUUAUAUGAAUAAGCACCGGCUAACUCCGUGCCAGCAGCCGCGGUAAUACGGAGGGUGCAAGCGUUGUCCGGAUUUAUUGGGUUUAAAGGGUGCGCAGGUGGUUUAUUAAGUCAGUGGUGAAAGACGGUCGCUCAACGAUUGCAGUGCCAUUGAUACUGAUAGACUUGAGUAAAGUAGAGGUGGGCGGAAUUGAUAGUGUAGCGGUGAAAUGCAUAGAUAUUAUCAAGAACUCCGAUUGCGAAGGCAGCUCACUUGGCUUUUACUGACACUCAUGCACGAAAGUGUGGGUAUCAAACAGGAUUAGAUACCCUGGUAGUCCACACUGUAAACGAUGAUAACUAGGUGUUGGCCGAAUCUGGUCAGUGCCACAGCGAAAGCGUUAAGUUAUCCACCUGGGGAGUACGCCGGCAACGGUGAAACUCAAAGGAAUUGACAGG